GAAAAAGAAAACCAAAACCUAGACAAACAAAAAUAAUUUUUUCUUCUCUGCUGGGUCUUAAUGUCUGGGACCCUCUGCAGGGUCUCUGGCUGGGGAAUCUUCUUGCUCCAUCUUUAUCUCCAGACACCCAAUCGUGGGAUCAGCUGCGCAGCAUGUGGUAUGUCAAUGGAUUGUAGAAGCCCCAAUUUCUCUCUAGAUGUUGCCUAGCAGGAGGGACCUGCAGGAGGAAGGGAGACCCUGCCCUUUCCCUGGGGAGUCCACUUUGAGUGGGCCCACAAGACUUUCACUAGCAAAACAACUAGAGAAGACCCAAGGCUGGAAUGUUCUCCCAGCUAAGAGAGGACCAGAGAGCCCUCUGUUCUGCUGGUAGGUGCAGAAGUUGGGUCGCCUCGGGUUUUGCUUCAGUCUAGGGUUUUGCUUCAGUCUAGGGUUUUGCUCUAGCGGGUAGAGGGGGAGCUAGGAUUGUUUGGUGCCCCGCAGUGCUUAGAUUCCCUUGUUUUGCAGCCUAGGAGCAGAACAUAGAGAGAACUUCAGUUUUUUUUCAGGGCCAAGAGGAGGGUGCAGUCUGGGACUUCAUUGUUCUUUGCACCUCCAAGGCCCUGGACAGGCAGCUCAUCAUCGCUGUAAUGUCCACUGCGCACGCGAGAGAUGAGUCCCAGUGUACCCCCAAGUCCCACCUGCGAGGUGGGGUUCCUCAGUCCUCACGGGCUAAGCCUUUCUGGCCCUCCCUCGGGGGCGGGGCUCGAAACCCUUGGGCUAGAUUCUUGCCCCCAGGCCGCCGAGUCCUGCACCUACCCACUUAGGGACUUGCCAUGGGACAGCUGAUCGCCAAGUUGAUGGGCAUCUUUGGGAAUCAGGAGCACAAGGUCAUCAUCGUGGGACUGGACAAUGCAGGAAAGACCACCAUUCUCUACCAGUUCCCUUGAGAUUCCAAGUGUGGUCCACAGACUGGAAGUGGGAGCAUGAUCUGGGAGCUUGUUAGAAAUGCAAAGUCCUGGGCAGCCCAAACCCACUGGAUCAAAACUGCAUUUUGACGAGACUCCCAGUUUGACCAAUGAGGUGGUUCACACGUGUCCCACCAUUGGCAGCAAUGUGGAGGAGAUUGUUCUUCGGAAGACCCACUUCCUCAUGUGGGACAUCGGGGGACAGGAGGCGCUGCGUUCCACCUGGAGCACAUACUACUCCAACACGGAGUUCGUCAUCCUUGUGAUUGACAGCACAGACCGGGAUCGGCUGCCCACCACUCGGGAGGAGCUGUACAAGAUGCUGGCCCAUGAGGCACUUCGAGAUGCUUCAGUGCUGAUCUUUGCCAACAAGCAGGAUGUGAAGGACUCCAUGACCACCGUGGAGAUCUCCCAGUUCCUCACUCUCAGCGCCAUCAGAGACCAUCCGUGGCAUAUACAAGGCUGCUGUGCCCUGACUGGGGAAGGGUUAGUGGCUGCCAGACCUGGGUCUGGCCCACCAAUGGACAAGUGGUCACCAGAACCCCUCUCUUGUCUUGGUCCUAUCAGAUUCUGGCUCACAGUUGGUGACUGUGCCAAAUCAGAUGGAAAGGGGUUGAAUUGUUGAAACUGGGUGAGGGGGUAAGCUGUGCAUCCCCACUCUCCAGCGCCUUCUAAUGGAGAGGUAACCCUCACAUAAACACAAGGGCCAGGCUGCCAGCAGGGCUCCAGUGGAUGCAGUCUCAGGCCACUGCCAAAUGAUGUCCCAGCCUGAGGCCAAUGAGACAUGUUGGGGGUUCUGCAUGGUCAACAUGGGUGAAAAACUCAAAUGCCACUUUACCUUUCUAUGAUUCUCUGGUGGGAGCAGAGCCAGCUACGGACAGGGAGAUUGCCACCAUCUACCCAAGCCUUCACUGAGGAGCAGGACUGUAAGUCCUGGAUUGAUACAGACAGGACAACAGAAAAAACUGCCCCUCACUCCACGGAUGCAAGUGUCCUUUUUGGAGACAUCAGGGAAGCUGUGAUGUGCUGGGGGAUUAGAAAGUGGAGCCCUCUCCUUCUCAGCCCUCAACCUGUCUGUAGGAAACACGUGGGAAGUAAGAGGUCCUUGAAAUUGCUUCUCAUUUCUUAACAAUAUCCACCCUCUCCAGCUUUCUAGAAAGUCUCUCAUUUUUGUCCCAUACCCUUUGAGAUUCCAGAAGGAUGAAGAAGGUGGCUUGGAGGCAGGAGGGUAGGGCCAAAACCUGGGAGGGGAAAGAACUUCCCACUCCUUCUGAGAUGCUGACUCUGACUGCAGUUUGGGGGCUGUAAGCCCCCCCAGUGGUAUUCCCUUGGCUCUCAGUGUCCAUCCAAUGUGAAUCCCACUUCUCCUAAUUGUUCCAGAUUCCUACAGGACCUGCUUAUUUUGUUUUUGUGUGAUGACUUUUUAAAUAUUGCAUUGAUAUUUUAAUAAAGGAGUAAUAAAUGUCAUC